AUGAAGAGGCUGUCCUACGGCCUCAAGAACGUUGGGUUCGCGCCAUACGGUGCCUACUGGCACGCCAUGCGCAAGUUCUUCGUGGUCGAGCUCUUCGGCGUGCGCCAUGUCGAGGCAGCAUGGCAUGCACGCCAGCAUCAGGUGGAGAAACUGAUGAGCACCUUGAGCGGCUUGGCCGGAGAGCCGGUAGCGCUCAAGGAGCACAUCUUAAGCCUGGCCGAUGGCAUCAUCGGCAUGCUUGGAUUUGGCGACAUGUACAACAGCGACAAGUUCCCACACCACAAGAACUUGGAGCACGUGCUUGAGGAGGCCAUACACGUGCAGGCCAGCUUUUCCGCCGAGGACUAUUUCCCCAACAUCGUUGGCCGCCUAGUCGACCAAAUCACCAGCCUCGCCUCUCGUCGUGAGCGGAUCUUCAAGCAGCUUGAUACAUUCUUCGAGAUCAUCAUUGAGCAGCAUCUUGACCCUCAGCGGGUCAAGCCUCAGAAUGGUGACCUCGUCGACCGCCUCAUCGGUCUCUGGAAGGAUAACAGUGGCACCCUCAGCAUCACGAGAGACCAUGUCAAGGGCAUCAUCUUUGGCACGUUCAUUGGUGGCUCAGACACGGCCUCGGUGACGAUCCUAUGGGCGAUGGCGGAGCUAAUCCGGAAGCCACGACUGCUGAAGAAGGUGCAAGAUGAGAUCAGGUCCAUGGUGGGCGGCAACGAGAGCGUGCAACCGGAUGACCUAGUAAAACUAGCCUACCUCAAGAUGGUGGUGAAGGAGACCCUACGGCUGCAUCCGCCAGCGACCAUGCUGCUGCCAAGGGAGGCCAUGCGGGAUAUCCAGAUUGGUGGCUAUGACGUGCCGGCCAAGACGCGAAUCUAUGUGAAUGCGUGGGCCAUUGGCAGGGACCCAACAAGCUGGCCUGAUGACCCGGAGGAGUUCAAGCCAGAGAGGUUUGAGACGAGCGAGAUAGACUUCAAGGGCGCGCAUUUUGAGCUAACUCCAUUUGGUGCAGGGCGGCGGAUAUGUCCUGCGCUGUCUAUGAGCAUAGCUACCGUGGAGUUUACGCUAGCCAACCUGUUGUACUGUUUUGACUGGGCGCUCCCGAAGGGGGCGGUAGUGAGCAUGGAGGAGGAAGGCAAGCUUAUCCCCCUCCUCAAGACCCCGCUCGUGCUGGUGCCCACCCCAUACCGGCACAUGUAA
rnacentral:rRNA from 1 species